AAGUGGUGGAACUGAGGAGAGAGUACAUACACGGCACAAAUAUGUGCAGUCAGCACUAAAAUCGAACUCGUUGUCUUUAAAAACUAAUAAAAGAGUGUCAGUGGGGUGAGAAGAUUUUACUUGUUUCCAGUGCAGUGGAUUUUCUUAAAAGUUGCAUUGAAAUUGCACUGUCAAUGAGUGAUUCACCUUUAUGGAACUGGAGAUUUUAAAACAUGAUAACUGGGCAGUUUGUAGUGCAGUUUGAGGGGGAUAUAAUAGCAAGUGAGAGGGAGAAGGAAAGAAUAAUGGAGACUGAGAUGUAGUAUGUAGAAGGCAAACCAUUAGCAACACCUUCUGUGAUAAUGUAUUCCAAUACAACCACAGAGUUGAAUCAACACCCUGCAUGAAUUUUUGGCUCUGACUGACAUCAGUACUAUUAUUUGAUUGAUUGAACAGCCAUGCAAGCAGUUAACCAGCUAUGGGGCUGACGUUCUGAGCCAUUGAUGUCCCCAUUUGAGUUUCAAGCUUUCCAUCGGUUACUGUGUGACUCAGCUUGGAUGCUAUGAUUCGAAUCACAUGGUAUCAUAUGGACUGCUAAGGUUCAUAACUGGACCCAUGAAAGGGAGUGAUCGAACUAGCUAGACCCCCCCACCACCACCUUCCUACACAAUGGAGUGCAGUGUUAAAAUGAGGAUUCUGCAUGUUUUAAAGGUUUCCACCAUGGACAGUCGGGAGGGAAAGCAGCCAUUGCGUAAAAACCUUGGUUUGUUUCAUUCAGUGUGUCCCGAGUAUGUGGAAAUCGUAUGUACUGCUGGUACAUACGAUUUCCACAUACUAAGUAACUUGGGAAAGCUCACCUGGAAAAACUGCUUUGGGAAACCCCAGGAGAAACAGAUACAGUAGGCUGGAAUGACCCAGACGUGAGGAAAUGCCAGCAGAUCGUGCUUCAUCCACCCAGUGGGAAAAAUCACCGUCUCCCUUUCAGGAGCCUAAUCUGGAGAGGUUGGCCGAGCACCGGCAGCGUGCCUAUGGCGCCUGACUCCUGUGACAGAGCCCCCCAGACCUGAGGCACAGGCCAGGGCUCCGUCACUGCCAGCCGCGUCACCUCUGCGUACUACCCCGCCGAUCUGGGGGCUACCAAGAUGACUGACGGCUGUGUAGCAGGCCCAGGGUAACCACUGGAUGGGCUGCUGCCAUAAGCCCCAGCAGCUGCAUCACUGACAGCGCAGUCACAGCAGUUCCCAGCUGGAGCUUGCGGACCGCUUGAAGAAGAGUUGUCUGUCUGAGCCGGGAAGCUUUCCUCUCCACAGCUCUUGGCCACAGUGGGAGAGAUUGUGUCCCCUCUGCUGCCAAAUGGCGCAGUGAGACGCUCGCAGAGGCAACGACGGAUCUUCUCUGCCUCGCUAUGACGGGAGAGACGUGGCUAGUGGCAGCAUCUCUCUGGCAAUUGCAGGCUAGGCCGCUGCUACCACGGUUACACCGUGAUGCGCUGCCACCUCUCGUUGGAGCAGUUGUCGGCAGCGUAGCGUGUAUGUCUGUGUGGCACGAAAACACUGCCGAUUCUGAAUGUAACUGUUUCCAGCCUUGACAAACACCAUGCCAGGAAGUAGGUAAAUACUGAAAUGAUCACAUACCUCCUAUCUUUUCUAAUUGGUGGAAUUGGUGUUGUUUUUACAACCAUACCCAGUCUCCCCUAAUAUCAUUUUAGUUUAUAUUUCCUUU